rnacentral:rRNA from 1 species
CAAUAAGCGGAGGAAAAGAAACCAACAGGGAUUGCCCCAGUAACGGCGAGUGAAGCGGCAGCAGCUCAAAUUUGAAAUCUGGCCCCCAGGGCCCGAGUUGUAAUUUGGAGAGGAUGCUUUUGGCGCGGCGCCGACCGAGUUCCCUGGAACGGGACGCCACAGAGGGUGAGAGCCCCGUACGGUCGGACGCCCAGCCAGUGCAAAGCUCCUUCGACGAGUCGAGUAGUUUGGGAAUGCUGCUCAAAAUGGGAGGUAAAUUUCUUCUAAAGCUAAAUACCGGCCAGAGACCGAUAGCGCACAAGUAGAGUGAUCGAAAGAUGAAAAGCACCUUGAAAAGAGGGUUAAACAGUACGUGAAAUUGUUGAAAGGGAAGCGCCUGCGACCAGACUUGCGCCCCGCGGACCACCCGGCGUUCUUCGCCGGUGCACUCCGCGGGGCGCAGGCCAGCAUCGGCUUCCCCAGGGGGACAAAGGCCGUGGGAACGUAGCUCCUCCGGGAGUGUUAUAGCCCGCGGCGCCAUGCCCCUGGGGGGGCCGAGG